GGACUCGCAGGUCAAUUGUGAAAUACCUGGGCUCAACCCCGGAACUGCCUUUGAAACUAGGUUGCUAGAAUCUUGGAGAGGUCAGUGGAAUUCCGAGUGUAGAGGUGAAAUUCGUAGAUAUUCGGAAGAACACCAGUGGCGAAGGCGGCUCACUGGACGAUUGUUGACGCUGAGGUGCGAAAGCGUGGGGAGCAAACAG
rnacentral:rRNA from 1 species